UCCGCCUUUGACGGUUGUCAUCGGAAAGAAAAUCAGGCUGUUGGCUUGAUUGAAUGUUUAAGUUGGUGUCACUUUUUGUCUCUCAAUUAUUGCUUUGACUUUCUCAAAGGUGCUGUGCAAAAGGUUCACGCUGCAAAUGAAUUUGCCAUAGAGGCAGCCAUUCGAGAAUGGCUGCGUCAUGCCCCAGCAACGCACAGGAAUGCAGCAAGAGGAUCAAGUGGUUGUGAUGAGUAGCCAUGCAGCAUGAUGAAGCCUUAAAGGGGAACUUCGUUGAAGACUUUUGUUCAGCAAUUUUUCAUUCACAUCACUUCGAAGCGUUCAAGGCGAACUUCAUUGAAGACUUUUGUUCAGUAAUUUUCAUUCACAUAACUUUGAAGCUUUCAAGGCGAACUUUGUUGAAGACUUGUUCAGUAAUUUUUCAUUCACAUAACUUCGAAGCCUUCAAAGUGAACUUCGUUGAAGACUUCUGUUCAGUAAUAAUUUAUUCCCAUAACUUCACUUACAUUACCCUUACAUUCAAAGACUGAUUUCAUUUUAUGUUCAAUAAAUGUGUUUGAAAACAAUGUGCU
rnacentral:lncRNA from 1 species